rnacentral:rRNA from 1 species
GACGUAGGGCGCGAGCGUUGUCCGGAUUUAUUGGGCGUAAAGAGCUCGUAGGCGGCUUAUUGCGUCGGCUGUGAAAACCCGUGGCUUAACUGCGGGCUUGCAGCCGAUACGGGCGGGCUAGAGUUCGGUAGGGGAGACUGGAAUUCCUGGUGUAGCGGUGAAAUGCGCAGAUAUCAGGAGGAACACCGGUGGCGAAGGCGGGUCUCUGGGCCGAUACUGACGCUGAGGAGCGAAAGCGUGGGGAGCGAACAGG